UCUCAGUUCGGAUUGUAGUCUGCAACUCGACUACAUGAAGCUGGAAUCGCUAGUAAUCGCGAAUCAGAAUGUCGCGGUGAAUACGUUCCCGGGUCUUGUACACACCGCCCGUCACACCAUGGGAGUCAGUAACGCCCGAAGUCAGUGACCCAACCUUAUGGGAGGGAGCUGCCGAAGGCGGGACCGAUAACUGGGGUAAAGUCGUAACAAGGUAGC
rnacentral:rRNA from 1 species